rnacentral:rRNA from 1 species
GGGGGUAGCGGAAUUCCAAAUGUAGGGGGUGAAAUCCCGUAGAUAUUUGGAGGAACACAGGUGGCGAAGGCGGCUACCUGGAUGAGUAUUGACACUGAGGCUCGAAAGCGUGGGGAUCAAACAGGAUUAGAUACCCUGGUAGUCCACGCUGUAAACGAUGGAUGCUAGUUGUUGGGGGGUUCCCACUCAGUGACGUAGCUAACGCGUUAAGCAUCCCGCCUGGGGAGUACGGUCGCAAGAUUAAAACUCAAAGAAAUUGACGGGGACCCGCACAAGCGGUGGAGCAUGUGGUUUAAUUCGAGGCAACGCGAAGAACCUUACCAGGCCUUGACAUGUCCUUUUUGAUCGCCAGAGAUGGCUUUCUUCACUUCGGGUGGGAGGAACACAGGUGCUGCAUGGCUGUCGUCAGCUCGUGUCGUGAGAUGUUGGGUUAAGUCCCGCAACGAGCGCAACCCUCGUCCUUAGUUGCCAACAGGUAAUGCUGGGAACUCUAAGGAAACUGCCUAUGAUAAGUAGGAGGAAGGUGGGGACGACGUCAAGUCAUCAUGGCCCUUACGGCCUGGGCUACACACGUGCUACAAUGGUGGCUACAAUGGGCAGCGACCCCGUGGGGGUGAGCUAACCCCCAAAAGCCAUCUCAGUUCGGAUUGUACUCUGCAACUCGAGUACAUGAAGUUGGAAUCGCUAGUAAUCGUAGAUCAGCGUGCUACGGUGAAUACGUUCCCGGGUCUUGUACACACCGCCCGUCACACCAUGGGAGUUGUUUCUGCCUUAAGUCGGUGCGCCAAUCUGGUAGCCGCCCACGGCAGGGAU